UUGCCCUCCUGGACUGCAGUGUCCUAAGUGUCUAACACAGGGGGGCAUAGCAAUUCUCUCAAAAACCUGGGGUGAAGGUUCAAUUCCUCGCUGUGGAUCCUGUCGGGAGAAAUAAAA